rnacentral:rRNA from 1 species
AUAAGAAGUCGUACCUGCCCAGUGAAAUUUUAACGGCCGCGGUAUCCUGACUGUGCAAAGGUAGCAUAAUAAUUUGCCUUAUAAUUGAAGGCUGGAAUGAAUGGUUUGACAUGGGUAAAUCUGUCUCUAUAAAAUUUUUUAGAAUUUUAUUUUUAGGUGAAAAAGCCUAGUUUUUAUUAAAAGACAAGAAGACCCUAUCGAGCUUUAAAGAAGUUGGUAAAAUCUAAUAAUUAUUUAAUAAUUAAGUUAUCAAAAAUUUUGGUUGGGGCAACCUAGGAACAAACAAAGCUUCCUAUAACUUAACAAACGUUUAGUUAUGAUCCAUAAAAUGUGAUUAAAAGAAAUAGUUACCGUAGGGAUAACAGCAUUAUUUUUUUUAAGAGUUCUUAUCGAAAAAAAAGUUUGUGACCUCGAUGUUGGACCAGAAUAUCCUAAAGAUGCAGAAGUCUUUAAGGGUUGGUCUGUUCGACCAUUAAAAUUCUA